ensembl:lncRNA
AAGACAAUGACGUAUCUGAUGGCACUGAGAUUUAGUCAUGAGUUUUAUUUGGAAAUGCUUUUGAAAGCUUUACUUGCCCUGUCUCAAUUCGCUCAUCUUACUGCACGUCUGGUUCUGAAGCAUGUAUCAAUUUGUGUGUCUUUGAUAAGUGCAAUUUUACUACAAUUGACACAGAUCGUUCUCUCACUGAUUUACAGCGUGAAGAACACCAUGCAGGGUUCUGCUCCUCCUUCCAAGCUUCCACCAUGGCCUAAGCCCAAGGCUGGUGGAAAUGUGAGAACCCAGGGCUUGGAGAAGAGCUGUCAGGUUGCCAUUCAGAUGAGCAGCUGCUUUGACAGACAGCAAAGGGUACGUGUGGAGGAAGAAGGGCUGAGCAACCAAAGAGAUGAUGUCCAGGCGAGAAGUAUUGAACAAGGCUUCUCGCAAUCAGCCCUCCAGUGCUAACCUGCUUGCCUGUCAGCCCCUCAUCUUGGCCACGACCUUCCUGAAACUUCCCACUGUCCCAUCAUGAAAGGAAGAGAACAGAGAUUUUUCCAGCUGUGAGUGAGUUGGAGAGUUGUGUUUACCCGGUCCCCGGAUUUGUAUUUCCUCAUUGACCAAGGGGCAAAGGGGUUCUGACAGACAGGUCAGCCUUGAGGUUGAGUUAGGUUUUCUCUGCCUUCUUCUUUUUUGGUAUCCCCUUUCCUGGGUGCAGAGGCAUAGGAAAUGUCUACUAGCUGGUAAAUGAAAGAGAAGAACACACAAGUGGAAGAGGGGAGAAGCGUGGCUAGCCCCUGUCAGAAGCAUCAUCUUGGCGCCGGCUAAACCCCGGGUUUCCAGAAGGCACACGACCUGUGUGCUCCUCUCCGCUGCCUGCAAGUCUUGCAUUUCUCUUUGAAUGCUGGGCCUCAAUAAAGUGAGUCUUGGUGUGAAAACUGUUUGCCUCUCCCUCUCUGCUUUAUUGAAAAUUUAAAAGAACGUUACUCCCCAACACAGCUUCUCAGUUGGCAAAUACAGCGAAGUACAUUUUCAUCAUUUACUCCCUUUGGAUUUUAUCUAUCUAUCAAAUGUACUCUGAAUAAGCUA